rnacentral:lncRNA from 1 species
AUUAAUUAAGCGGGUCAGCCUCAUAUGAAAAAAUCGAGCAGGUAUGUAUAUAUAUUAUAAAGCAGAGGACGAAUUUAAGUUAUAUAAUAUAUCUAAAUAUUAUUUAUUUAAAUAUUAAAUUAAAGAUGAAACUAUACAAAUAAUAAAAAAAUUAUAGUUUUAAUAAAACGUUAUUAAAUUAAUGUUAUUAAGGAUAGUAGUAGUAUAUUAAAUUAACGUUAUCAAAUUAACGUAAUUAAAAUGUUAUUAAAUUAACGUUAUUAAAAUGUUAUUAAAUUAACGUAGGGGCGGACCUACGUGGUUGCCAUGGGGUUCACUCGAACCCCCUCGGUAAAAAAAUUACGUUGUAUAUAUAUAAGGUAGAAAAUGUAUAUUUAUGUACGUAUAUUAAUGUUGAACCACAUGAAACAAGGCACUUAGAUAUGCCAGUGAUGUUAUUUGCUCUUCUUGGGCGCUUCCUU